GAUGAACGCUGGCGGCGUGCCUAAUACAUGCAAGUCGAGCGAACGGACGAGAAGCUUGCUCUUCUGAUGUUAGCGGCGGACGGGUGAGUAACACGUGGAUAACCUACCUAUAAGACUGGGAUAACUUCGGGAAACCGGAGCUAAUACCGGAUAAUAUUUUGAACCGCAUGGUUCAAAAGUGAAAGACGGUCUUGCUGUCACUUAUAGAUGGAUCCGCGCUGCAUUAGCUAGUUGGUAAGGUAACGGCUUACCAAGGCAACGAUGCGUAGCCGACCUGAGAGGGUGAUCGGCCACACUGGAACUGAGACACGGUCCAGACUCCUACGGGAGGCAGCAGUAGGGAAUCUUCCGCAAUGGGCUAAAUCCUGACGGAGCAACGCCGCGUGAGUGAAGAAGGUCUUCGGAUCGUAAAACUCUGUUAUUAGGGAAGAACAUAUGUGUAAGUAACUGUGCACAUCUUGACGGUACCUAAUCAGAAAGCCACGGCUAACUACGUG
rnacentral:rRNA from 1 species